AGAAAGUAAGAUAUUCUCUAAUGUUUAAUUAGAAUGAUACAGAGAAGAUUAGCAUGGCCCUUGCGCAAGGAUGACAUGCACAAAUCGAGAAAUGGUCCAAAUUUUC
rnacentral:snRNA from 1 species